rnacentral:pre_miRNA from 1 species
AAUAAACCAAUUUUUCAUUUUUUAUCUAUAAUUUUUGACUUCGUCUUAUUUAAUUUUUUUUUGCGAUUGAUCUUUUUGUUUUUAUUAGAUGAUAAAUCAUAAAUAGUACUUUACGUGUGACUAUUUUUUUUCUAAUUUCCUGAAAAAUUUUCAAAUAAGACGGAUGAUCAAACGUUGGACAUGGAAACC